CCUACGGGUGGCAGCAGUGAGGAAUAUUGGUCAAUGGACGGAAGUCUGAACCAGCCAUGCCGCGUGCAGGAAGACGGCUCUAUGAGUUGUAAACUGCUUUUGUACAAGGGUAAACCUGAAUACGUGUAUUCAGCUGAAAGUACUGUACGAAUAAGGAUCGGCUAACUCCGUGCCAUCAGCCGCGGUAAUACGGAGGAUCCAAGCGUUAUCCGGAUUUAGUGGGUUUAAAGGGUGCGUAGGCGGAUUGAUAAGUUAGAGGGGAAAUAUGCGGGCUUAACUCGGGAACUGCCUCUAAUACUGUUGAGCGAGAGAAUGGAUGCGGUAGGCGGAAUGUAUGGUGUAGCGGUGAAAUGCUUAGAGAUCAGACAGAACACCGAUUGCGAAGGCAGCUUACCAAUCUAUAUCUGACGUUGAGGCACGAAAGCGUGGGGAGCAAACAGGAUUAGAUACCCCUGUAGUC
rnacentral:rRNA from 1 species